rnacentral:rRNA from 1 species
UACGAAGGGGGCUAGCGUUGCUCGGAAUCACUGGGCGUAAAGCGCACGUAGGCGGAUUGCUAAGUCAGGGGUGAAAUCCUGGAGCUCAACUCCAGAACUGCCUUUGAUACUGGCGUUCUCGAGUCCGGGAGAGGUGAGUGGAACUGCGAGUGUAGAGGUGAAAUUCGUAGAUAUUCGCAAGAACACCAGUGGCGAAGGCGGCUCACUGGCCCGGUACUGACGCUGAGGUGCGAAAGCGUGGGGAGCAAACAGG